GCUGGGAUAGCUCAGUUGGCAGAGCACAAGAUUCUUAGUUUCAGGGUUGUGGGUUUGAGCCCCACGUUGGGUG